GACGUAGGAGGCCAGCGUUGUUCGGAAUGACUGGGGGUAAAGGGCGCGGAGGUGGUAUUUUAAGUGAGGCGUGAAGGCCCUGGGCUUAACCCAGGAGGUGCGUUUCAUACUGGAAUGCUAGAGUGCGAGAGAGGAAAGUGGAAUUCCUAGUGUAGAGGUGAAAUUGGUAGAUAUUAGGAAGAACACUAGAGGCGAAGGUGGCUUUCUGGAGCGUAACUGACGCUGAGACGGCUAAGCGUGGGGAGCAAACAGG
rnacentral:rRNA from 1 species